GAUGAAGAACGCAGCGAAAUGCGAUAAGUAAUGUGAAUUGCAGAAUUCAGUGAAUCAUCGAAUCUUUGAACGCACAUUGCGCCCGCCAGUAUUCUGGCGGGCAUGCCUGUCCGAGCGUCAUUUCAACCCUCGAACCCCUCCGGGGGGUCGGCGUUGGGGAUCGGCCCCUCACCGGGCCGCCCCCGAAAUCCAGUGGCGGUCUCGCCGCAGCCUCUCCUGCGCAGUAGUUUGCACACUCGCACCGGGAGCGCGGCGCGGCCACAGCCGUAAAACACCCCAAACUCUGAAAUGUUGACCUCGGAUCAGGUAGGAAUACCCGCUGAACUUAAGCAUAUCAAUAAGCGGGGA
rnacentral:misc_RNA from 1 species